CGCUCCUGCCGCGCUGCCUCCCCCGCCCGCAGCCGCGCCGGGCGCGGGGCAUGGCCAGACUCACCGAGGGCGAGGCGAGGAGACAGCCGCCGCCGCUUCUGCCAGCGCCGCAACCGCCGCGCCGAGCUUCCCCCAUGAACAGCAGCGGCGGCGCGGAGCCCCCCGCGCAGCCCGACAGCAUGAAAGACCUGGAUGCCAUCAAGCUCUUCGUGGGGCAGAUCCCGCGCAACCUGGAGGAGAAGGACCUCAAGCCGCUCUUCGAGCAGUUCGGCAAGAUCUACGAGCUCACCGUGCUCAAAGACCGCUACACCGGCAUGCACAAAGGUUGUGCAUUCCUCACAUACUGUGCCAGAGACUCUGCCAUCAAAGCCCAGACAGCACUGCAUGAACAGAAGACUUUGCCAGGGAUGGCGCGCCCAAUUCAAGUGAAACCUGCAGACAGCGAGAGCCGUGGAGGUAGGGACAGGAAGCUCUUUGUGGGCAUGUUAAAUAAGCAGCAGUCUGAGGAUGACGUGCUCCGGCUCUUUGAACCAUUUGGGGUCAUUGAUGAAUGUACGGUGCUCCGUGGACCUGAUGGUAACAGCAAAGGCUGUGCUUUUGUAAAGUUCUCAUCUCACACAGAGGCUCAGGCAGCAAUCCACGCACUCCAUGGCAGCCAGACAAUGCCCGGUGCCUCCUCCAGUCUAGUGGUGAAGUUUGCUGACACAGAUAAGGAAAGGACCCUCCGUCGUAUGCAGCAAAUGGUGGGGCAGCUGGGGAUAUUCACUCCAUCUCUCACCUUGCCGUUCAGCCCAUACAGCGCCUAUGCGCAGGCUCUGAUGCAGCAGCAGACGACGGUUCUCUCCACCUCCCAUGGCAGCUACCUGAACCCAGGCGUCGCCUUCUCCCCAUGCCACAUCCAGCAGAUCGGUGCCGUCAGUCUCAACGGGCUGCCAGCUGCUCCCAUUGCACCAACAUCAGGGCUACAUUCACCAUCUCUCCUGGGAACAGCAGCCAUGCCAGGACUGGUAACACCAAUUUCAAAUGGAUUUACUGGAGUGGUACCAUUCCCAAAUGGGCAUCCAGCCUUGGAAACAGUUUACACCAAUGGCCUUGUGCCAUAUUCAGCCCAGAGUCCUUCAGUAGCAGAGACUUUGAACCCAACCUUCACAGGAGUUCAGCAGUAUCUGUGUAUCCGACCACCACCAUCACCCCCAUUGCACAGAGCAUCCCUCAGCAGCCUCCCAUCCUGCAGCAGCAGCAACGAGAAGGUGAGGUUCAGAAUGGGACUAUUUGUGUCCCAAGAGAGGGGUGGGAUUUGUGUAGCUCAUCUUCUGUACCACAGAACCAAUGGAGAGGAGACAGCACUAAUUUUUAUCAGCCAAUCUUUGAUACUGGAACUAGGCUAUGGAAACAACCACAUCUCUGCCUUGAGUGGACUAGAAGAGUUCACAGGAUGAUUGUUAUGCAGACUUCCUGAGCUUGUCCCUGGCCAGAUGUUGCCAGGUACAAAGGGGGCAAUAGGCACCAGAACACCACGCCUUCACAUCAAAGAGGGUAGUCAGCACCUUCCCUACACAGUCACAGGAAAAGAACACUGCCUCUCCACUGAUGCCAGAACCACAGUGGUACCAGUCAAAUCAGCCUCUCCCAAUGUACUCUUCUCUCUUUUCAGCCUUCAUAGCCUCCUGAGUUUAUUUUUCAACUUAUUUCAAAAUUGACCUAAAUAGAAAUUGGAGGCAAAGGCAUUCUCUCUCUGCUCCUGAUUCUUACAGCGGGUGUCAGGAAGGGAGCAGCUUCUUGUGUUCAUCAGGCUCACAAGGAGCAAGUGAAGGAGUGGACAGGACCAGGUCAGCCCAUAAAUGGGAUGUACGGCAGUCCAGGGUUAAGGCUGUAGCUUACGGACUGAAGGCAACCACUGCCUAACUGUGGGCAGGGAAUGCCAGAGGAGCAACUUUCACAUAGCAGUGUCUGCUGCUGUCCUAGGACUGGGAGAGCUAUGAACAAGGAACUCUUGCCUCAGCUGAGUUCCUUCCAUCAAAACAACACCCGGACACUUACAGAGUUGUUGUGUCCAGCACACUAUUUGGGAACUAGAUAAGCUUUGAAAGAGAAGCUGCUCUCCAGAAACUUCAGCUUUGUAUAUUACCUCCCAGUUGCUCUUAGACAGCCCUCAGAAUCCUUUGGGGAAAAGAGGAAGUGCUAGGGUUCUCCUCCAGUGCUGUGCUGUGAGUUGAGCCCAUUUUUUUCCCAUUCCCUUUGGGGUUUUCUGUUUUGUCCUUCCCCGCUGCCCCCAUAUCUGCAGGUCCUGAAGGCUGCAAUCUCUUCAUCUACCAUCUCCCUCAGGAGUUUGGAG